UUGAAAUCUAACUUUAAGAGCUCAACUUAGGGCUCUAAAGAUUCAAGUAGCAGGAUUUAUUUAUCUAAAUCAGGGUCUUAAGUUUUUAAUAUAUGGAUUCUAUCGUUUUUCAAUUUAUGGCUUUAAGUUUUUCACCAUUUUAAUUAAUGUAUCCUUUUCCUAUUCAGGUUUUCUGUCAAAAAAGCAGGCCAAAUUGUAAUGCAUGUCCAAUGAAGCUUAACUGCAAGCACUUUGCAAGUGCUUUUGCGAGUGCACGAAAGCCCUUCCAGCUCCAGUUGACAAAUCAUUAUCAGUGCCAAUUUCUUCUUUCGAUCCACAAUCUCAGCAAGAUUCUUAUCCCCUUAUUCCACUUGCUCUGCCUCCAAUAUCUUCAUUUGAUAUUCUUUCUCAGCAAAAUCCAUAUACCCUAGAUUUGGCCAAUAUUUCUGUGAGGCACAUAUCAACAUCAAUGCCAACCUGUGAACCUAUUAUUGAAGAGCCUUCAUCUCCAGAGCGUGAGAGCAUAGACAGUUCAGCAGAAAGUGCACCGCAUGAUUCAUUUGAUAUGGAUUCUGAAGAAAUUCUCAGUAUCAAUUUGAACUGUAAUGACAAUGCAUUACAGAUAUACAAAUCUUCAGAGAGUGGCACCCAACACUUAGAUGCAACAGACACAUCGACAGCUUUAGUAGUUAUGCACAGUGCACAGUAUUGAUACCUUGCAAAACAGCAAUGGGGGGGCAUUUUCCAUUAAAUGGAACUUAUUUUCAAGUUAAUGAGGUGUUUGCUGAUCACAGAACAAGCUUGCAUCCAAUAGAUGUACCUAGACAUUGGAUUUGGAAUUUGCGACGAUGCACAGUAUACUUUAGUACAUCAAUUCCCAGUAUAUUUAGAGGUCUUGACGCAGAAGCAAUCCAAGAGUGUUUCUGGAAAGGGACAAAUAUUUUCAUGCUUCUAUUAUAUUAUAAUUCAGUCUGCGCUCCUUAAAUCACAGAAAAAAUACUAAUUUCUACGUAGAAAUCCAGAGUAGAUCAAUGUCAAGGAUGGUUUCUAUUUGUAAAUAUAGAUUUCCCUUUUUGCUUCCAAUCUCGUAAAAGUAGCUGGAAAGUGCUUGCAAUAAUUUAAAACUUUAAACCAAUAAGUUGGGCAAAAGGCGGUGACAUCUUCUUAUGUUCCUUAAGUUUCUCAAGGUCAUAGCAUCUUAGGACUCAACUCAGCAAUCCUGAUUUUGUGAUCAGGUAGGCCCUUUGUUGGAAGUGAAGUCCAAUGGAUUCCUUUCCUUUACUGUCAAAAACUCUUGGUUCUUCAACUUUUAUUUGUAAGCUCUUUAAGAGCUGGUUGCAUAUUAUUUUGUGGAGUGAAUUCUGGAGCUACUUGCAGCUGUGUACAAACCAGACUUGGUUAUUAAUAUAUUGAUUCCCCUACUUUAAGUGUGGACAUAGGCAAUUGCUGAACCACCGUAAAUUUGUGUCUCAUUUGUCUAUGUUGUGA